GUCUUUGCUUAGGCAAGACAUAUACAUACUAAAAUUGGAACGUACAGAGAAGAUAAGCAUGGCCCUGCGCAAGGAUGACACGCAAAAUCGUGAAGCGUUCCACAUUGUU